GGGUCUGGAUUAUAUCCUCUUCGUCAGGACCUUGGAAGAUAACACCUACUGUCACUGCUGGGGCAGUGCUAAUUGCUGGAACAACACCUGUUUGUCAGGGCCCUGAGAAAGAAGGGCAGAACCCGAGGAAUCAAAACACAUUUGUCAGCAGAAACCACAACAGUAAAGAUAAGGGAGAAAAGCAGCCUGCCUGGGAACAACGAUGAGACCCAAUAGGGAGCAGGAGACCCCAGACCCAAAAAUUACUAUUGGUCUGAACUACCGCGUGAGGGGUGGGAAACUUAAUUUGAAAAAAGCUAUAAUUGCCCAGGGAUUUCUUUGUUUGGGGUCCCUCUUUGGAGGCACCCAACUCGAGCUGUAACUACUGCACGCGUGUCAUUACAAUUUAUUUAUUUAAUUUGCCUUGAUUUGGCUCCAAACUUUUCAGCGGGAACCUAGGGUCGGACCCUGCUCGAGUUGUAAUUACUGCACGCGCAUCGCUAAAAUUUACACCCAGGGUGAAGAGGACCAACGGGACGCCGCUGGAUCCACGGCUGGUGUGGCGGACAGAUGAGUGAACUUUUGCCUUAAACAUUUCUUGGUACAUAAGGUGCAAGCAAACCAUAACCCCGAACAAGCCAUCUGUUCCCAGCAGAAACAGGACUAAGCUGCUGUGACCCCCGAAAUCGUCUCCCUGCGACCACCCAGGACACACCGAGCCUGCGCCGAACCAGGGCACGAUCGGGCAGAGACUUUGGGACCUGGACUGUAAAUUAUUGCCGUUUUUAGCACAACUUCUAUAAAACUUGCUUAGCAUGAGUAGCUAAAUUUGCUGAAGCCUUAGGCCGCACUCCCUAGUUCACUGAGAAAGGGACCCAGAGCUGGUGCAGGCGGGAAUGAUAAGGGAGUUACCAGCAAUUUGCAUUCCUGUGCACUGCUGAAACAGUGCUAAUUGCUGGAGUUACCACCUCUUUGUCAGGACCUUGAGAGAUAAUGGCUGGACCCAAGAAUGGAGACACACCUGUCAGCAGAAACAGCAACAGUAAACGGCCUACCUAAGGAGCAGGAGACCCCAGACUCAAAUAUUACUAUUGGUCUGAACUACCACGUGAGGGGUGGGAAACUUAAUUUGAAAAAGCUAUACUUGCCGAGGGAUUUCUUUGUUUGGGGUCCCUCGUCCCUUGUCGGAGGCGCCCAGCUUGAGCUGUGAUUCGAACGGAGUCAGCGGACCAUCAUUGGCCUCGGAGUGGUGGAGAAAAGGAAAAGGCAGAGAGAAAUAGAAGGCAAGAGACAAUAGCUUGAGGACCAGAUACUUCAGCUGCAGCAUUUCAAGCUGGUUAAAACAAAUGGACCUGGUGCUGUGUGAUUUGAAGUAGCAUGUUACAUUGACUGCAUAGCAAACACUAGAAUGUUUCCUGGAUGGAAAAAAAAGAAAACGGGGGAGUAUCUUGAAUCCUGAGCAUCAGUGCCUUCUAAAAACUUCAGCAGGGUGCCUGUUUUUUCUCAGGAUCCACACCCAAGCUUCAUUUCUUUGUUUCAGAGACAGAGCAGAGAUUAGUCCUUUAAAAUCUGACUGGGGAAAUGGGGAACAGCAGAAGCCAUUUCCUACAAGUUUCUACAGUAGCAUUCCUAGAGAGUAGGGGAAGUCUGUUCAGUUCCUUUCUGUGCAUAAAGGUGUUCAGGCUGACAUCUUCAUUUUCCAGGAGCAUAUGCUUUCCACCAGGUUAUCUGUUGGGAAGAGAGACUCUGUCUUUCUAUUGACUCUGUUUCAUGUUUCAGAAAAGAACUCAAGAUUUGUUAGGCCAGAAAGUGAGAGCAAGUGGGAACACAGCUGUGCAACCUAGAAUGAAUUUACAUGACCAGAUUUAGCUGAGAAGAAAAGAACUUAACCCCUGAGCUGCCACUUUAUUUUUGCACAGCUGACUGAGGUGUAUUUGUGGGAAAGGGUGAUACCUUGAGGUCUAUGGAAGCCUGAAUGUUGAGAAGAGACUGUUUUCUACAGGUGAUAGUAAAAAGGGAAUGUGACAGUACAGCGAUGUUGAUAACUUAUUAAUUUGUCUGUUUUUUUUUUAAUGACUCCAACAAUGUUAGCAUUUUUGUCUUGCUCUCAAAACCAUGCCUCAUUCUCUUUGUAAACAUGAAAUGAGUACUCAAAGUAAAAAUGAAAAUGAAAACAAAUCUAAACUUCUGGCUCCAGGAGGCAGAAAUGUGCACAACUUCUUUUCUUUUCAUUUGAAGUCACUUCUUUAAAAUAUGAUAAGGUGUUUUUGUCCAUUAAAAUGUUUAAAUUCUACAAUUAAAUAUUUAAUCCACUUUGUAAAUGCAUUAGUUGGCGUGGGGUUGGCUAAGCCCUAUCAUGUAACAAAUGUUACAGAUUUGAAUUGUACCUAUGUGAGCUAUGACGUUUUGAUUGAAGUCAUGAUUACAAUCAAGAUAACAGAUUUUUCAACAUAACAGGGCAGUACUUGAGUCCUAUAUCUAUGUAUCAUCAUGUUCUUUAGGCCAAAACAAGUGUAUUAUAUUGGAAAGGUGACAGAAAGCUUUGAUGUGACACAAAUUGUUGUGUCCCAGAUCACAUCAGCAAGCUGGAAAUCUCUGCUUGUUCUGUCCCACAGUCAGUCAUGUUAUGCAAGUCAACAUCUGCCCCUUGACAAACUUUGAGAAGCGGGCUUUCUGUCCCCCUAUACAGCCUCAUCCAGUUGGCAGGGAUCUGCCUGCCACAUUAAUUCAUGUGUACAGCCCUCCUCUGCAUGUAAGGAUUUAUUCAGGAAUUUUUAAGGGCAUCUGUCCCCAAAGCACUUGUUUGUACUACAGCCAUACGAGCAAUCUAUUAUCUCCUUUUUGGCAGGCAUGGG